CGUGUAGGCGGUUUGUACAGUCAGAUGUGAAAUCCCCGGGCUUAACCUGGGAGCUGCAUUUGAGACGUGCAGACUAGAGUGUGAGAGAGGGUUGUGGAAUUCCCAGUGUAGAGGUGAAAUUCGUAGAUAUUGGGAAGAACACCGGUGGCGAAGGCGGCAACCUGGCUCAUUACUGACGCUGAGGCGCGAAAGCGUGGGAGCAAACA
rnacentral:rRNA from 1 species